UGGGGAAUAUUGGACAAUGGGCGAAAGCCUGAUCCAGCCAUGCCGCGUGUGUGAAGAAGGUCUUCGGAUUGUAAAGCACUUUAAGUUGGGAGGAAGGGCAGUAAGCGAAUACCUUGCUGUUUUGACGUUACCGACAGAAUAAGCACCGGCUAACUCUGUGCCAGCAGCCGCGGUAAUACAGAGGGUGCAAGCGUUAAUCGGAAUUACUGGGCGUAAAGCGCGCGUAGGCGGCUAAUUGAGUCGGAUGUGAAAUCCCCGAGCUUAACUUGGGAAUUGCAUUCGAUACUGGUUAGCUAGAGUGUGGGAGAGGAUGGUAGAAUUCCAGGUGUAGCGGCGAAAUGCGUAGAGAUCUGGAGGAAUACCGAUGGCGAAGGCAGCCAUCUGGCCUAACACUGACGCUGAGGUACGAAAGCAUGGGGAGCAAACAGG
rnacentral:rRNA from 1 species